GGGAGAGUUCCCGAGUGGCCAAAGGGGGCAGACUGUAAAUCUGUUGCUUUAUAGCUUCGAUGGUCCGAAUCCAUCCUCUCCCACCA
rnacentral:tRNA from 3 species